UUUUUUCUCCUAACUCUAUUUCUGGCCCCGUUGCCUCGUGGUGACAGUAGAAGCCAGAUGGCGUCUCUGUCGCACUCAGAUGAAUGGGCAGCUCUGACGCUCAACCUAUAGCGUUUGUGUUUGUGGUCAAAGAUUAUUUAUGCAAAAUGAAUCCUUCCCUUCCUUGUUUGUGUAACAGUCCGGCUUUCGCUUCCUGUUCAACAGGUCGCGCCGACUGUGGCCCAGUAGCUGGUUUUCGUUAGCUUUAAUGGCCCUCGUGUUGUUUUCUUCCAGGCGCUUUUCGUUUCUGCUGCUUCUUGCUCUGUACUGAUGGGAAGUGGCCUGUGCCUGCGCUCUCUGCUCUGAAGCGCCUGCGUCCUCGCUGCUGUGGGUCUGUCAUCCUGUCAGGCUGAUGCCGCCUCGUGAUUUUGGUGGAAUCUGACAGGUGCCAAAUAUAAAUGUCGCCCUACAUGCGACGCAACCUUUAAUGCCUGUGCAAUAUUGAAGAAGAAGGUGCAGAGGAGACCUGCUGAUGUUUUGAAAGGACAAUGGCUGCGUUAACGCGCGUUCUGCCUCAGUAACAGAACACGGAUCUGGCAGUCGGCCGCCAUUUGCCGAAAGCGAGUCGUUCCAGUGGGAUUUACCAUCUUCAGUUCAUAAAUCUCUUCCAAAGCUCGGCAAGCUGUGCAACUUGCGUCAUCAGUGUUAACAGAUACUAAAUCAUGUUUAAUAGAAGCAGGUCAUUGCUGGUUUAUUUAUCAUAGAUUCAUUCCUUAAACAAAGUGAGGAGACGUUUGUUUUGGUCCCCAUUAAACGUACUGUACUGGUGCUGAGGUGUUAAAAUAAGAGGUUCUACAGGUUAUUACUUUAUAAUGGAGGCUUACAUGACGUUUUAUCAUUAAAUUAAACUUUUUAUCACUACUUUCUAUGAUAAUCUUGGUUUUAUUACAGUAAAAUCUGAGUAGUAAACGUUAAAGGGACCAAUGAUACCGUCUUUAUGCUUGUGCUUGUGUUUGUGAGUAAAAUAGAAUCAUCUCCUUCUUGUUUUCAUUUUUCUAUCAUGUUUGCUCUCAUCUUGUUUCAGAAUCUAAUUUCCCAGCCUGUCUUAGCGAACCGCAGUGCGACUCUUGCUGACAGACUAACGGGACGUCUGCUAGGACUCACUUUGUCCAGAUCAAAUCAAACGUCUGGCUUUUCAACCACCGUCAGUGAUCUCGUACUGUCUGUGUGCAGGUGGACGUCCGGUAGUUACAAGAACUAUUUUCCCAGUUGUGUCACUCUUGUGAAACAUUAUUUUUUAGUGUUGUUUAUUUUUUCAUUGGUAUUUUUUUAUAUUUUAGCGUUCAUAAAUUGCAGAAGAGGUAACCCUAUGAAGACAGCGCGGCUCGGAGCUAAAUGCCACAGAAAGCAGCGCGCCGCCGAGGCCGCCGGCCGUCACGUUUCUCCUCCACCCUCUCCUCCCGCGAGACUGGGCUCAACAAAUGCCAAAGAAAACUGUACAAAGAGAGUGAACCAGGAGCGUCCGACGGCUCCUGCAGGUCACGCUGGCUCUGUGUGUCUUUCUAUUUAUAGGGCCCCCCUUGUUCUCCUCCCUUCUACAAAGAAACGCGCGCGCUCGUCAUAUUCUCAGAGCGGCCGCGGUCGUUUCCUGAGGCCGCGCUCGCUUCUUCAGCCUCACUUGCUCUGUUUUAUACCCUGGACAUUGCAACAUUCCUCUCUGCAGCGUGCGUCUGUGGUGACUGCUCCACGUUUCAUUUAUGCUUUAACAGUAAAAUUGUUGCCUCAACCUCCUCCUUUCUGUGCAUCACGAAGCUCCACGCGCUAACUUAAUUAGCUCCUUCUUCAUUAGCACCUCAGCACAGGCUUAAGGAGGCUGACAACGAACCACCAGGGAGGCUUGUUAGACAAACAGCCCUCUGCUCUGCAUGUCAGGGGCAACGUCCUCUCAAUCAACCAUGCAGCUGUGGCGGAUACUGUACAGCGUGCGCCUGGAAUACGCAUGGAGGCACUGUUAAUAUGUAAGCUACGGCGUCAGAAUACUGAUGGAGUCAAACGUGCUCAGGUGAUGAAUCAGCGAGGGGUCGAAUGAAGACCCUCUGUUUUGGAUUAUUUCAAAGCGAAUGUGAUUCGUUCCUAAAUGACGGGAUUGGUUUGAGAAUUGGUUGAGGCGAGGCUCAUUUAGCUCGUGUGAGGUUUAGCAUUCAGCUCGACGGCUGAGCGAUUCCUUCAUUUAAAUAAGCACAACUCAUUAGUUGAGCAAUUAGGAGCUAAUUAAGGCGUCGCUGUUGAAAACACACUGAAAUAUGUGCCAGGGUAAUCUUAUUUGAUAACGUUACAUGCACGUCCUUGUAACAUAAAACAUUCCACAAUGGUUUUGACGGGCAAAUUAUUUUUUAUCAUUUUCUAUUAAAAUGAAAUGACCAAAGGUUGCUGAUGUGUUAGUUUCCUCUAGAAAACGUGGAUGAAUGGAGGAAACAGCUCUACGUUCACACAUCCGCUCCUCACUCGCUUCCUGGGAAAUGAAGCUGUGCUGAAUUUCAGAAGUACGCAGGACGACUGGAGCAGGCGGCUCCGCGCCGUGACUCACCCCCAAAGCAUCAAUUAAUGUAUCCUGACCUAUAAUCAGUCUGCUGGUGUAGCAGUGAGUCAGUGCUGGGACGCUGCUGGAAACCAGCCUAAGUCCAGACGAAUCAGGCCUGAGACCAUUAGCAGACACUGGCUGCACAAGGCUGUGCGUCAGAGAGACAUAAAAGGAAGAAACACUGAAGGAAAAUGAUCUUUAUUAUGGCUACAGGAUACUGAAUGUUGGAAAUAGACCUGCACAAGUCUCCUGUUUUUCCCUGCUUUGGAUAUUUUUCUUCCUGACUGAUUCGCAGCGCGGCUGAAGGUGUUUCCUGCGUGUUGAGACGUUACCUCUCUUGAACCGACAGACAGUCUGUUUUGCAGCCUCUGCUUAUGAGUAAACAGUCGGCUGCGGAAGGAGCUGCGUGAAAUCAGAUUAACCUGCGCGUCAGCCGGAGUCAGACUGAAGGUGUGAAGGUGAACAUCUGGGGGGUGUGGAGGGAAACAGACGCCGGUUCCUCCCGGGCGCCCGAGGCGGCGGCGGCUGAGGUGCGCUGUUGGAGGCCAGUGUCGGUGUGGACCAGAGCCGGACCCGUCCCUGUCUGUCCGUCCAGGGGAACCGGCAGGGCCCGUUUGCCUCACGGAACAAAAGCUGCUCGGGUCCUAUUUCCUCAACGGCGACCGCGGCGGAAAGCGAAGCGGGACGCGUGCGGAGGGUCCACUCGUGCCGCUGUGGGUGAGAGUGGGCGCAGAGUGACGCCGUUAGUCACUGAGUGGGAGCGCGUUGUGCAACCUGCCUCUGAUCGCUGCCCGGCGUAUUAUUCCUCCCACGCGUUCCCGUUCUAUUAAAGCGCUUUUGUGUGUGAAACGCAAACAUGUCACAGCCGUCGACUGCAUGUCUUCCCUCGCGCCGGCUCCGCUUUCAAAUGUCUGUGAGAGCGCGACGCCUCACGUGUUGAAAAGACGGCAGCAUAUUACUGGAUUAUCCCAUCUGAAAUGAAAUCUCUGGCUUCAUUUAUUUAUUUUAUUCUUUAUUGUUGAGGCUUGUUUGCUGUGGUGACUAUGCAAAUAUCAGCCUGUGCUUUCAUUCUAUGGAGCAUUGUCCUGUACGUGAUCCCACGACUGAGAGACAUGUUGCGGUGGAUCUGAUGGAUGAUACGUCCUGUGACGUUUAAGUCUGAAGUGAUUUUGUGUCUAAGCGAAGCCAGUGACGCGCUUUUACCCUCAGCGAUUUAACAAUGAGGUGAGAUGACAUCUGGACUCAGUGGCGUGAAGAGCGCCUGCAUUAGAGACCAUUCAUUCGUUCAUAUCAUAGAGAAACACCAGCUCUCACCCUGUCUCCUGACUUUCAAUCCAGACAGGUGUGUCUUUCCUGCCACAAACGUCCCCUGAGUCCGACUCAGACGUCGGUGCUUGACUUGCAGCCACUAACUGUUAUCAGUGACCCACAUAUUUCCUCUCUCAAGUUCCGACCCCGCUUGCGUCCUGCAAACUGUGUCUGUGCAGCGCUGACCCAGAAACCCGCCCCCAUCGGGUUCCAGUGGCUGCACGUAUCCGCCGCCACUGGCGGCCGCGGCGGUGAAAUCAGUCGCUCUAAGCGGCGGAUUUGGCCGCAUCCAUGUUAAACGUCUGCGUUCUUCCAUCAUCCUCCGAUCUGGCGUGUGUCGCCCUCUAUCGCGCUCGCGAUAUUAAUAUUUCGCAGCAGAAGAAGUCGUGCGUUAGCAUUAUGUAGAUCGUUCCUCCCACAGUAUCUGGCCUGCGCUCAUGUUGUCUUAUUAUUCUUCACAUGAGGGUCCUUUCGGACUCUGGGACAGAACCUCUCUAUGAGUCAUGCUCCGGCGUUGACAUGUAACUCCGUUGGGAUCCAGACAUUUUAACAAGCGCGUACGAGGCGUCGCCUCCACUCAUGCUCAGCUCGCGAGGGAGGAAACGCGCGGAUGACUUCCUCCGGAGGCCCUGCGUCUCGGGGCCGCGUGCGCUCCCCGCUCGCCGCUCUGACUCACAGGCUUCCACUUCUCCUCUGUCCGGCUCGCCGUCCCUCAUUUAGCCCCUGAGCACCGGCCGUGCCUGUGACCCCCGCUCAGAGUCAGAGCCCACGACAAGGACAGCUGGUUAUUAUCAAUCACACCAGCAGUCGCCUCAUUGUAACCAACUGCAGUCCAUGUAAAGUCUCCUUUAGGUUCACACGCACAUCUGGCCAGAGCUGUAAAGCGUUGGUGUGUUGGCUCUAAUGGCUUCAUGGAGAUGUGAGGUAAGAGGAGCCAUCACCGCCUGGUGCAGAGUGUUUCUGUAAGUGGAUGGAGCAGCGUUACGGCCUUUUCCAGAAAACCCGUUUCCACAAAGCGAACCUCUCCUCGUCCUCGUCUCCGCUGGGAAUUAAAAUGCCUCCGUUGGACGGCAACGUCCGCCGCCGAGGCUGACAGCGACCCGCUGGAGGGUCAAUUCGCCUCACUGGGGACCUGCUGUAGAUAAAUGAUAAAUAAAUGAUAAAUAAAUGCUUUUUUUUCCAAGGCAUUAUGUGCUUGUGUCUAUAUCCAGGAUCUAUACAGCAACUAGACUCAUAUACAGUCUAUAUGUGGCUGAGCUGAGUGUUUUCCCUGUGGAUCAGUCUCUGUUCGGGGCUCAGUCUAACUGACAGGUGAGCUGUGACAAGCAGUGGGAAACAGCCUGCUGGCCAUUCGUGUACUAGCAAGUCACAUCUGUUUGAGUGUAACGGUCACGCACGUCGAGUCGAAGCGAGGUCUCCCUCGCAGCCGCGCGUUGUCUGCGGACUGAACGUCAUCGAUGAAAACA